UUUAACCCUUUGAAUCUCCAGCAUCCUGUGAGACUGCUCACAAAGCUGCCUGCUGAACACCACGGCUCCAACAGCCGGAGGACUUCAACUGUCUGCUGUAAAUUUGCUGACUACGAAAGAGGUAAUUUGCAAGAUUUGGCUCCUGAGAAGCUGCACAGACCGGCUCCAGGAGCCACUUAUAGGACUCGAUCUCCUUGUCAAACAUCAAGGACAUCUUUUUCCACUGUUCAACACUUUUUCAUACAUCAGAGCGGUUUUCUUCUGACACCAACAAAGAUUUUUUCUCUAUUCUGACAUCAUUUUUCUUGUUAGACGCUUAUAAACAGCAUUUUCCAGCAUUGCAGAGCUCCCGCUGAAGGAUAUUUCCAUUUUUCUUUUUCCAAUACAAAGACUUUUUUCCCUGUUGGAUAUGUUGAAGAUGGCUCUCUGUUAAUGAUUUUCAGGGACAUUUGCGCCUGAUUUCUGCGGCGUGCUGACUGCAAAAACUACAGCCACCACUGGGAGGUGACGUGAGGACAACAUCGCAAGGGAGUCUGCUGCGAGUGUGUGUGCAUGCUGGAGAGAGAGAGUGUGUGUGUGUGAAGCUGGAUGCAUCUGGUUGUGUAUUUGAGUGUGUGUACUCAGAUGCCUCACUGCACUGCUGACGGGCCCAGACACCCACAUCACACGGAGAGACGGCAACUCGGACACUUCUGAGUUAUUUCCUGUUGCUCAACAUUCGUUGACUCGCUGUGCGUAAAAUAAAUCAACCAGUCGGAUAUAAAAAAGGUUAAAACUCCAGCAUGAACAAACAAAAUUUCCAAAUAUUUCCUGCGGAGAAGCUGCGGAGCCAAGCUGGAGGGCAAACGAGUCGACUCGGUCUGGAACGUGUUGCUCUGAUUGGAUGAUUAUGGACCUCUCUUCUCUUUGGCUGUUUUCAUUUUUCUGAAAAAUUGGGGCUUUUUUUCCGGGGACACAGCAGGACUCCGGUCCUUUCAAAAAGUUUUUAUUGAGACCAGGCAAGCUGAGGAGAAACAGGCCUUUGAUGGUAUGGGCAUUUUUCAUGAUUGAAAGUCUUGGAUCUUGGAUUACAGCUGUGACCCCCACUGAAUGCAGAGCUUCAUGGGAGCUAUGAAGCCACUACUGCCCAAAGAAAAUGUGGUUCCUAACUGGUGUAGCAAGAUAUGCUGAUGAUACAAUUCAUUAUUCAUCAAAUUCAUCAAGUUUACUUCAUGCAACAUGGGAAUUGAUAGACUGAUCUAUUAAGAGUCUCAUUUAAUAAGCUAUUAAGUAUUUAUUCCCCUUUCUCUUCUACUAUUUGCAAAAUAUAAAUAAACUUUUGUGAAUCUGGAGCUCUGCAGCUUCUGUCGUUAGUUGGACCACCUUUUAGCAGAUUAUUCUGCAACCCAUCAGGAGACCUCGGACACUUUUGUGCA
rnacentral:lncRNA from 15 species